rnacentral:lncRNA from 1 species
UUGAAUUGACAACUUGUAUGAAAAUUUUACUUAAUUAUGUUAAUCCGACAACAUUUAUGUGUUGUCUGAUAUUGAAUUUUAUUGAAUUGACAACUUGUGUAAAAAUUUUACUUAAUUAUGUUAAUCCGACAACAUUUAUGUGUUGGCUGAUACUGGAAUAGUGUAAUUUCUGAUUUUGGAGGUAAACGAAACCCUAGCCUUAAUUUUAACUUAGGUAGAUUCCCUCUAAACCAUUUCAUUUUAUAGUUACUUUUUAGUUUCUGAAAUACCUUUAGAAAGAAUACCCUCAACAAUUGAGUUUGGUUCCUCCCAACAUUUGAUUUUGUAGCUAGACAAAUUAAUAUGUUAGUGUGUUAGGGCGACAUCUAUGUAUAAGGAAAAGAGGCGCAAUUCUAAAUUUUUUGAAAUUUGAAUACCAAAUUUUUAAAUCUUAGUUGUUGGUUUGGGAAUUAAAGGAAAUGAGGGGGCUGACUUCAGUCAAAAGCCAUUAUGGGCGUUGACCCGUUCUUCUCUCCCUCUCCUCUCGACAUCGCCUGUGUCAGUGGCGUCCUCCGCCUGACGCAACCGUCUUCGGCCACUGCACACCGCGAGACCACCAUCAAAACGUCCGACUUCCUCUUCUUUACCUAACCCAACCCUUAUAUCGUUUGUAGAGCCAUAGAUGAGAGAGAUCGGUGGAGGAGGAACCCAGUUGUCUUCUCGGAAUUCUGGCGUUUCAGGCCACCGUCUGGUUGGUCGAUGGUAAGAUCUUUCUCCUUCUCAAUUCCCUCUUCCUUUCUGUGUUAUUGUUUCUCUAACUCGUGCCCUAAUCGGAGAUAUCCCCAAUUCUGUUUUUCGGGGUUUUUUUCGGUUGAGUCUCCGGCGAGGUUUCCCGGCGUCGUUCUUCCCCUUCUCGAAU